GGUCUCCUGAAGGAACGUUGAAGACGACGACGUUGAUAGGCCGGGUGUGUAAGCGCAGCGAUGCGUUGAGCUAACCGGUACUAAUGAACCGUGAGGCUUAACCUUACAACGCCGAAG
rnacentral:rRNA from 2 species